rnacentral:lncRNA from 1 species
CUGAGCUGCAGGAUAUGUUUAUAUAUUUUGGUGAUUAAUCCCUUGCCAGUUGCUUCAUUUGCAAAUAUUUUCUCUCAUUCUGUGGGUUGUCUUUUUGUCUUGUUUAUGCUUUCCUUUUUUAUGCAAAAACUUUUAAUUAUGCCCCUUUUGUUUAUUUUUGUUUUUUUAUUUUAUUUUUAUUUUUUUAUUUCCCCAAUACAUCAUUUUUUUUCUACUGUACAGCAUGGUGACCCAGUUACACAUGCAUGCAUACAUUAUUUUUUCUCACAUUAUCAUGCUCCAACAUAAGUGACUAGACAUAGUUCCCAGUGCUACAUAGAAGGGUCUCAUUGCCAAUCAUUUCAAAGGCAAUAGUCUGCAUCUAUUAACCCCAAGCUCCCAAUCUAUCCCAUUGUCAUUACUCUAGGUGGAUCUGAGAAAAUAUUGCUGUGGUUUACGUCAGAGAAUGUCUGGCCUAUGUUUUCCUCUAAGAGUUUUAUAGUAUCUGGUUUUACAUUUAGGUCUUUAAUCCAUUUUGAAUUUAAUUUUGUGUAUGGUGUUAGAGAGUGUUCUAAUUUCAUUCUUUUACAUGUAGCUGUCCAGUUUUCCCAGUGAAAAGCUGAAAGAAUUCCCAAUAAAAUCAGGAACAAGACAAGGAUGUAUGUAAGCUCUUGCCACUUCUGUUCAACAUAGUUUUGGAAGUCCUAGCCAUAGCAAUCAGAGAAGAAAAAGGAAUCCAAAUAAGAAAGGAAGAAGUAAAACAAUCAAUGUUUGCAGAUGAUGCGGUAUUAUACCUAGAAAACCCUAAAGACACUAUUAGUUAACUGUUAGAGCUCACCAAUGAAUUUGGUAAAGUUGCAGGAUAUAAAAUUAAUGCACAAAAAUUGACUGGAUUUUUCUAUACUAACAAUGAAAAAUGAGAAAAAGAAAUUAGGGAAACAACUCUACUUACUAUGGCAUCAAAAAGAAUAAAAUACCUAGGAAUAAACCUACUUAAAGAGAUGAAAGACCUGUACUCUGAAAGCUCCUAGAUGCUAAUGAAAGAAAUCAAAGAUGACACAAACAUAUUGAAAGAUAUACCAUGCUCUUGGAAUGGAAGAAUCAAUAUUGUCAAAAUGAUUAUAUUACCCAAAGAAAUCUAGAGAUUCAAUUCAAUCGCUAUCAAAUUACCAGUGGCAUUUUUCACAGAAAUAGUACAAAAUAUUGUAAAAUUUCUUUGGUAACACAACAAUCCCUUUAUGUACAAAUUUCCUCAUUAUGUUUACUUAGGGAACAUUCUACUAUAUUGGUAUGUCCUGCCAUGUAGCUAUAUGCUACAUUCAGAAAAUUUAUAUGGACAUGCCAUUUUAAAAUUGAUUUAUUCAUAAUGAAUUAAAUAAAAUUAUUUGAUAAACAUAUAUCUUCCUAUAUUAUGAUUGAAAAACAAACCUGAACUCUCUGGUUAUACUGCUUGGAUUUGAAUGCGACUGUGGACAAAUGUCUUUACUUUUCAAAUGCCUCAUUUUUUACAUUUGUAAAAUCAGAAUAAUAGUAGAAGUAUCUCACAGGACUGCCCAAGAAUAAAAUGUGUAAAAACACAUAUAAGUCUUAGAACUCAUGUGACAUUGUGCAUGAGGCCUCAGUAGGAAAUCUGUAAAUAUUAGGUUACUACUGCUACUGGUACUACAUUUUAUUAGUCUUAUUUUUGUCUUCCAUUUUUACUUGAGAUUAAAGUUUCUUUUUAAUCAUUCUUUUGAUAAAAAUUUGCAAUUCACAAUCUGAUAUUAAUACAUAGUUUUAUCCAUCACACAUGGACCUGGAAGGGCAGGGCAAAAUGGGAAAGGACGAUGCCCUAGGAAGAGGGGAGAUAACCACAAAAGAACAAGAAAGGGGUAAUGCAGGUCUCUGUGGAGUACAGUAGAAUGGCCCUAGUUGAAGGGAGCCCAGAAUAAAACAGAAAUAAUGGUCAAGAUAUGGGUGGGUUUAAAAUUAGGUGCAGAAUGGGUUUCACAAUAAAAAAGUUAGUAUUGCAUAACAUUAUAAAAGUUUCAUAAAGAUUGCACUUAGCAUGGAUUAUGUAUGUAUAUGAGGUGUGAAUGCAAAUGCUAGAUGUUAAGUGAGAAAAUCAGGAGGAACAGAUCAUUUGGUUAAAAAGAGGAGGAUUUACAGAUCCUGGGCAGAGACUUUAAAGGAAAUUAAAAGGAGAAGCAAGUCUCUGACAAUUAUAUAGCUACUGCCUGAUUUAGUUACUGCUUUGACUAGCAAUUAGAUAAAAACCUUACAUUUUAGUCAAGUAACUUUGUUGACCUAAGGGCUGCUUCACUGACUUCUGUUUAAUAAAGGAGAUAUUAAGAGAGCUACAGGACAAAGGUUUUCUGGAAGGAGACUCCAAGUCCUUAGUGUUGGUCACAACAAAUGCACCCAGAAGGAGACCACUGUCUUAUCACACUCCAUCUAUUUUGUUCAUUUGUAAGCUUUGUCAGUAUCGAAUUUCCUAAAAUUUCUCUUAGCCAAAAUUCAUACUUCUUUUUCUACUUAAAAUUUGUCUAGGACCAUUUCUUCCCUCCAUCCUUCAAGUUAUAAAUUCAAUCUGAAUGUAAUGAAAUGCAGAAUAUAAAUCGUCUCUGGUUCUUUAUUUGAAAACCAUAUCACAGCUGGAAUACGUUUAAGACUAUGAGUCUAUAGUUCUCUGGAAAAGCUGAAAUUUAAAAUUAAACAAGUUAUUUUCAGUUAAACUGUUGAGAAAGUGGCUGCCUGAGAGUGUGUCCCUGGUGCUUUCAUCUCCCAAUUUUAGUAGCCUUUCCUAGGAUGAGCACCAGGUUGGUGACUGGACAGCUCAGAAAAUGUGCAAGG